GACGAACGCUGGCGGCGUGCUUAACACAUGCAAGUCGAACGGUGAAGGGACCGGUUUUUGCUGGUUCUGGAUGAGUGGCGCACGGGUGAGUAACACGUGAGUAACCUGCCCCCUUCUUCUGGAUAACCGCAUGAAAGUGUGGCUAAUACGGGAUAUUCUGCGCCUGCUGCAUGGUGGGUGUGGGAAAGAUAUUGUUUCGGUGGGGGAUGGGCUCGCGGCCUAUCAGCUUGUUGGUGGGGUGAUGGCCUACCAAGGCGGUGACGGGUAGCCGGCCUGAGAGGGUGGACGGUCACACUGGGACUGAGACACGGCCCAGACUCAUACGGGAGGCAGCAGUGGGGAAUAUUGAACAAUGGGGGAAAGCCUGAUGCAGCGACGCCGCGUGAGGGAUGGAGGCCUUCGGGUUGUAAACCUCUUUCGCCAGUGAAGCAGGCCUGUCCCUUUUGUGGGUGGGUUGACGGUAGCUGGAUAAGAAGCGCCGGCUAACUACGUG
rnacentral:rRNA from 1 species